CCCUUAGAUGUUCUGGGCUGCACGCGCGCUACACUGAUGCUAUCAACACGUUUUCCCUCCCUGAGAAGGGCGGGUAACCUUUUGAAUCAGCUUCGUGGUAGGGAUCGGGGCUUGCAAUUGUUCCCCGUGAACCAGGAAUUCCUAGUAGACGCGAGUCAUAAGCUCGCAUCGAUUAAGUCCCUGCCCUUUGUACACACCGCCCGUCGCUACUACCGAUUGAACGUUUUAGUGAGGCAUUUGGACCGACGCAUCUCAGUUUAACCGCUGGUUUGUGUUGGAAAGACUUCCAAACUUGAGCGUUUAGAGGAAGUAAAAGUCGUAACA
rnacentral:rRNA from 1 species